GACGAACGCUGGCGGCGUGCUUAACACAUGCAAGUCGAGCGGUAAGGCCCUUCGGGGUACACGAGCGGCGAACGGGUGAGUAACACGUGGGUGACCUGCCUCUAGCUCUGGGAUAAGCCUGGGAAAACUGGGUCUAAUACCGGAUAUGACUCCGCGGUGCAUGCUGUGGGGUGGAAAAGCCUUGUGCGGCUGAAAGAUGGGCCCGCGGCCUAUCAGCUUGUUGGUGGGGUGAUGGCCUACCAAGGCGA
rnacentral:rRNA from 1 species